rnacentral:misc_RNA from 1 species
ACCGAUGACGGCGAUUACAACGUCAAACUGCGCAACCUCAUCCGCUUCCUCGACGACGGCGACAAGACGAAAAUCACGUUGCGUUUCCGUGGCCGCGAAAUGGCUCACCAGGAAAUCGGUAUGCGCAUGCUCGAGCGCCUGCGCACGGACCUCGACGAAGUCGGUCAGGUCGAGCAGAUGCCGAAAAUGGAAGGGCGCCAGAUGAUCAUGGUGCUCGCUCCGAAGAAAAAGAAGUAAGCGGCUGGAGCAGCGGCGCAUCGUGUGGUGCGCGCUCCGGUUGUCAAAGAAUGAACGAUGCGGUGCCGGGUGUCCGGUGCGGU